rfam:Brachybacterium faecium DSM 4810 strain 6-10, complete genome.
GCCACGUAUCACUUCACAACGGACCGUCCGGCACGUACCUGCCGGUGAAGGAGAACCAC